UGGGGAAUAUUGGACAAUGGGCGGAAGCCUGAUCCAGCAACGCCGCGUGAGGGAUGACGGCCUUCGGGUUGUAAACCUCUUUCAGUACCGACGAAGCGGAAGUGACGGUAGGUACAGAAGAAGCACCGGCCAACUACGUGCCAGCAGCCGCGGUAAUACGUAGGGUGCGAGCGUUGUCCGGAAUUAUUGGGCGUAAAGGGCUCGUAGGCGGUUUGUCGCGUCGGGAGUGAGAACACUGGGCUUAACUCAGUGCUUGCUUCCGAUACGGGCAGACUAGAGGCAUGCAGGGGAGAACGGAAUUCCUGGUGUAGCGGUGAAAUGCGCAGAUAUCAGGAGGAACACCGGUGGCGAAGGCGGUUCUCUGGGCAUGUCCUGACGCUGAGGAGCGAAAGUGUGGGGAGCGAACAGGAUUGAGAUACCCUGGUAGUCCACACCGUAAACGUUGGGCGCUAGGUGUGGGGCCUAUUCCAUGGGUUCCGUGCCGCAGCUAACGCAUUAAGCGCCCCGCCUGGGGAGUACGGCCGCAAGGCUAAAACUCAAAGGAAUUGACGGGGUCAUAGCUGUUUCCUG
rnacentral:rRNA from 1 species